rnacentral:rRNA from 1 species
UACGAAGGGGGCUAGCGUUGCUCGGAAUUACUGGGCGUAAAGCGCACGUAGGCGGGUUUCUAAGUCGGGGGUGAAAUCCUGGAGCUCAACUCCAGAACUGCCUUCGAUACUGGAGAGCUCGAGUCCGGGAGAGGUGAGUGGAACUGCGAGUGUAGAGGUGAAAUUCGUAGAUAUUCGGAAGAACACCAGUGGCGAAGGCGACUUACUGGACACAUAUUGACGCUGAGGUGCGAAAGCGUGGGGAGCAAACAGG